rnacentral:rRNA from 1 species
UCAUGGCUCAGAUUGAACGCUGGCGGCAUGCUUUACACAUGCAAGUCGAGCGGCAGCGCGGGGGCAACCCUGGCGCGGGAGCGGCGAACGGGUGAGUAAUGCAUCGGAACGUACCCUGGAGUGGGGGAUAACGCCGCGAAAGCGGCGCUAAUACCGCAUAUGCUCUGAGGAGGAAAGUGGGGGACCGCAAGGCCUCACGCUCUGGGAGCGGCCGAUGUCCGAUUAGCUAGUUGGUGGGUAAAGGCUUACCAAGGCGACGAUCGGUAGCUGGUCUGAGAGGAUGAUCAGCCACACUGGGACUGAGACACGGCCCAGACUCCUACGGGAGGCAGCAGUGGGGAAUUUUUGGACAAUGGGGGCAACCCUGAUCCAGCCAUGCCGCGUGAGUGAAGAAGGCCUUCGGGUUGUAAAGCUCCUUUUUGGUCCGGAAGAAAGCGCCUUGCCUAAUACGCGAGGUGGUUGACGGUACCGGCAGAAUAAGCACCGGCUAACUACGUG